AACUCUUCUCCAGGCUGGAGUGGGAAGUCCUUCUUGGAUAAGAAAUCCCGACCCAUACAACAGUGGGCCACAGACAGGAGGCCUCUGAACCCUGAGUCGUCAUAUUAAUAAACCCCUCUACUGUGAGGCCGCCAUGCUGGAGAUAAUACAUCUGAAAUUGGGGGGAAUUACUACUUGGAGAAGAUGGAAUAAAACUGGCUGACCAAAAUUUGCUUCACUGAUACACACAAGUGGUGUUACCUCAAAAAGUACAGGAUUCACUGUCACAUGCAGACCAGCUUUCCAGUCUUUCUCGAGAGAGACUACCAAGAUUUUCAAGGACAUAAAACAAAAUUGAUGGAAG